rnacentral:tRNA from 1 species
GGUCCCGUAGCUCAGCUGGAUAGAGCAUCUUCCUUCUAAGAAGGCGGUCAUUGGUUCGAAUCCAAUCGGGAUCACAA